ACGCUGGCGGCGUGCCUAAUACAUGCAAGUAGAACGCUGAAGGAGGAGCUUGCUUCUCUGGAUGAGUUGCGAACGGGUGAGUAACGCGUAGGUAACCUGCCUGGUAGCGGGGGAUAACUAUUGGAAACGAUAGCUAAUACCGCAUAACAGUAGAUGUUGCAUGACAUUUGCUUAAAAGGUGCAAUUGCAUCACUACCAGAUGGACCUGCGUUGUAUUAGCUAGUUGGUGGGGUAACGGCUCACCAAGGCGACGAUACAUAGCCGACCUGAGAGGGUGAUCGGCCACACUGGGACUGAGGCACGGCCCAGAUUCCUACGGGAGGCAGCAGUAGGGAAUCUUCGGCAAUGGACGGAAGUCUGACCGAGCAACGCCGCGUGAGUGAAGAAGGUUUUCGGAUCGUAAAGCUCUGUUGUAAGAGAAGAACGAGUGUGAGAGUGGAAAGUUCACACUGUGACGGUAUCUUACCAGAAAGGGACGGCUAACUACGUGCCAGCAGCCGCGGUAAUACGUAGGUCCCGAGCGUUGUCCGGAUUUAUUGGGCGUAAAGCGAGCGCAGGCGGUUAGAUAAGUCUGAAGUUAAAGGCUGUGGCUUAACCAUAGUACGCUUUGGAAACUGUUUAACUUGAGUGCAAGAGGGGAGAGUGGAAUUCCAUGUGUAGCGGUGAAAUGCGUAGAUAUAUGGAGGAACACCGGUGGCGAAAGCGGCUCUCUGGCUUGUAACUGACGCUGAGGCUCGAAAGCGUGGGGAGCAAACAGGAUUAGAUACCCUGGUAGUCCACGCCGUAAACGAUGAGUGCUAGGUGUUAGACCCUUUCCGGGGUUUAGUGCCGCAGCUAACGCAUUAAGCACUCCGCCUGGGGAGUACGACCGCAAGGUUGAAACUCAAAGGAAUUGACGGG
rnacentral:rRNA from 1 species